UUACACAUGCAGUCGAGGGGCAUCGCGUGUAGCAAUACAUGGCGGCGACCGGCGCACGGGUGAGUAAGGCGAAUGUAAUUAACCUUUUACAGAGGGAUAGCCCUGAGAAAUCAGGAUUAAUACCUCAUGGACAUAUAUGAUGGCAUCAUUAAAUAUGUAAAGGAGCAAUCCGGUAAAAGACGGGCGUUCGUAUCAUUAGUUAGUUGGCGGGGUAAAAGCCCACCAAGGCGACGAUGAUUAGGGGAUUCGAGAGGAUAUACCCCCACACCGGAACUGAGACACGGUCCGGACUCCUACGGGAGGCAGCAGUGAGGAAUAUUGGUCAAUGGUCGGAAGACUGAACCAGCCAUGCCGCGUGCAGGUAAGAGCCCUAGAGGUUUUAAACUGCUUUUAGACGGGAGCAAUAAGAGGUAUGCAUACCUCGAUGAGCGUACCGUCGGAAUAAGCAUCGGCUAACUCCGUGCCAGCAGCCGCGGUAAUACGGAGGAUGCAAGCGUUAUCCGGAUUCAUUGGGUUUAAAGGGUGCGCAGGCGGCAUGUCAGGUCAGCGCGUAAAUACCGGGGCUUAACUCCGGAGUUAGCGUUGAAACCGACAGGCUUGAAUGAGGUAGAAGUUGGAGGAAUGUACGGUGUAGCGGUGAAAUGCAUAGAUAUCGUACAGAAGACCGAUAGCGAAGGCAUCUGACUAUGCCUCGAUUGACGCUCAUGCACGAAAGCGCGGGGAUCAAACAGGAUUAGAUACCCUGGUAGUCCGCGCCGUAAACGAUGAUAACUCGCCGUUGGAGAAAGUAAAGAAAUCAGCGGCAAAGCGAAAGCGAUAAGUUAUCCACCUGGGGAGUACGGCCGCAAGGCUGAAACUCAAAGGAAUUGACGGGGGCCCGCACAAGCGGAGGAACAUGUGGUUUAAUUCGAUGAUACGCGAGGAACCUUACCCGGGCUCGAACGGCUGAAGAAUAAAGUAGAAAUAUUUUAGCCAGCAAUGGUUUCAGUCGAGGUGCUGCAUGGUUGUCGUCAGCUCGUGCCGUGAGGUGUCGGCUUAAGUGCCAUAACGAGCGCAACCCUUACCGUCCGUUGCCAACGGGUAAAGCCGGGGACUCAGACGGGACUGCCGCCGUAAGGUGCGAGGAAGGUGGGGAUGACGUCAAAUCAGCACGGCCCUUACGUCCGGGGCGACACACGUGUUACAAUGGAUGGUACAGAGGGCAGCGACCUUGCGAGAGGGAGCGAAUCCCAAAAGCCAUUCCCGGUUCGGAUCGGAGUCUGCAACUCGACUCCGUGAAGCCGGAUUCGCUAGUAAUCGCGCAUCAGCCACGGCGCGGUGAAUACGUUCCCGGGCCUUGUACACACCGCCCGUCAAGCCAUGGGAGUCGGGGGUACCUGAAGUAUGCGACCGCAAGGAGCGUCCUAGGU
rnacentral:rRNA from 1 species